GGGCCCGCACAAGCAGUGGAGCAUGUGGUUUAAUUCGAUGCAACGCGAGGAACCUUACCAGGGCUUAAAUGCAGAACGACAGAGGUGGAAACACCUCCUUCUUCGGACGGUCUGCAAGGUGCUGCAUGGUUGUCGUCAGCUCGUGCUGUGAAGUGUCGGGUUAAGUCCCAUAACGAGCGCAACCCUAUUUCUAGUUGCCAGCGGUUCGGCCGGGGACUCUAGAGAAACUGCCAGCGUAAGCUGUGAGGAAGGUGGGGAUGACGUCAAAUCAUCACGGCCCUUACGUCCUGGGCUACACACGUGCUACAAUGGUAGGGACAGAGAGUUGCCAACCCGCGAGGGUGAGCU
rnacentral:rRNA from 1 species